UGGGGCCAGCUGCUGUGUUCCUACUGCCAUUCCGUUUCAGAACACCAGGUGGCAGCAGGUGUCCAGUUUUGGCCCUUAGGGCUACAGGCUCUGCAGCAGGAGGCCUUAAGGCAGGCUCCCCUGCUAGCUGGGGUACAGAAGGGAUGGGUGCCCCGUCUGCUGAGCACUCGACUGAGCAGUCCUUGGCCUGCUGCACGUCCAGAAGGACUGGCCAGGAUGAAGCCAGUCCUGGGAGCUGGCCAGGACACUGCUACGGUCGCCUCCUGGGCUGGCAAUCUGCUCUUCACCUUCAGGACUGGACUAGAGGAGGUGGGCGCAGCGCAAGGCAGGCGGGAAUGAUGGAGUGAUGGGCCCCUCCCAGCACACAGGCAGCCGUCAAGGACCGCCUUCCUCAUUCUCGCCCUCCUGUGGGACCCCGGACAGGUCACCCACCUCUCUGGCCUGUUUCCUGCACAGGGAUGUGACAGGAUUAAGCGAGGUUACACUAGAAUAGGGGCUCAACGCUAGUCUAGAAUAAAGCCCCCCAGGCCUAGGAAGCCCCCUUCACUUCUGAGGUCCUAACAGGGACUGGUGGUGGGGUCUUCUGCCCCAUGAUCCUCCGUAACUACUGCCUGGGCCUGGGCCGCCCCUCCCUGCAUGGGCAGGUUGGGGUGGAGAUGGGGCCCCUCAGGUGUCCUCCCCUCAGCCCUGCCAGGUCCUGGCCUCCUCUGGACACUGUGGUGUGGUAUUGGAAGUAGAGGGGGAGGUGGGUAGCCGGGAAGGGCCUGGGGUCCUGCACCGUGUGGGCAGGAGAUGCUGAUUCUCCAGGGUCCCCACUAGCUCUGACAAGGACACGGGGGCACAGGGACAAGGGAUCUGCUCGCACCCCAUUUUGUUUUCUCUG
rnacentral:lncRNA from 1 species